AGUCCCUUUUCCAUGACUUCAUCAAUAACCGCUUCAUAUGUGUGCAAUCCUUUGAAGUAAAGUGUACUUCCAUCCUACAUCUUCACCAAGAAAACAUCACUUCAAGCAACAGAACGUCAACGCACCCGGAUUUAGAAUACACAUACACUUUGUUCUAGCUGUAGAAAUCUAAUAGCACACUGAUCAAAAUUAGUGCAAGGACAUAUCAAACAGGUAAAAAAGAUAUGAAAGACUAACUUUAUCCAAACAAAUAGGAAGAGGAGCAAUAUAAAAUAAUGGGCCAGAUUAAAGGGAGUUGGAUGUGGGAGAGAAGUGUCGAUGAUUACCACGAUUCAGUUGCUAAUCACCGUCGAGGAUCCCAACAUCGACAAACCAUAUCGAUUCAGGAAGAGCUGGAACAAUUCGUGAUAGUGCUGCAUCAGCCUCCCCGCUGGAUGUUUUUAGUGGGAAAAUACAGUAUAAUAUGUAUAUCUAGUCCAGCCUAAUUCUCUAGUUAAUGACCUCCUUUGUUUUGUUUUAUCAGAUUCUAUUUUAAUUCAGACGAUUUUUAUUUUACAUUCAGACUGUAGUUAAUUGCCUCCUUUCUCCCUCUGUCCACACCAUAGACAAGGAUGCACUACCAGCUUUAGGGGCCAAAAUAUGGAUCUAUUGAGUCAGCUUCAUCACCCAGAU
rnacentral:lncRNA from 1 species